AGAAGGUGAAAGCCCUGUAAUCGAAACCUUGCAUACAUGGGACUGUAUCCAGAGUACCACGAGACACGUGAAACCUUGUGGGAAGCAGGGGGGACCACCCUCCAAGCCAAAAUACUGAUAUCGACCGAUAGCGCAUAGUACCGUGAGGGAAAGGUGAAAAGAACCCCUGGCGGGGAGUGAAAGAGAACCUGAAACCGUAUGUCUACAAACAGUCGAAGUCUGUAUAUAUAUCAGGACGACGGCGUGCCUAUUGAAGAAUGAACCGACGAGUUACUGUUGCUAGCGAGGUUAAGUGGAAAACACGGAGCCGCAGCGAAAGCGAGUCUGAACAGGGCGUUCAGUUAGUAAUAGUAGACCCGAAACCGUAGUGAUCUAUCCAUGGCCAGGUUGAAGCACAGGUAAAAUUGUGUGGAGGACCGAACUCGUGAGCGUUGAAAAGCUUUGGGAUGAGUUGUGGAUAGGGGUGAAAUGCCAAUCGAACACGGAGAUAGCUGGUUCUCCCCGAAAUAGCUUUAGGGCUAGCCUCGAGGUUGAGAGUAUAGGCGGUAGAGCACUGAUCGGGCUAGGGGCCAUACCGGUUACCGAACCUAGUCAAACUACGAAUGGCUAUACUUAUACUCGGGAGUCAGACAGUGAAUGAUAAGGUCCAUUGUCAAGAGGGAAACAGCCCAGAACACCGACUAAGGUCCCAAAUGUUACACUAAGUGGCGAAGGAUGUGGAAUUUCCAAAACAACCAGGAUGUUGGCUUAGAAGCAGCCACCAUUUAAAGAGUGCGUAAUAGCUCACUGGUCGAGAGACUCUGCGCCGAAAAUGUCCGGGGCUAAAGUGUAAAACCGAAGUCGUGUCAUGUACAGCAAUGUACAUGGGUAGGGGAGCGUUCUCAUUGGGUUGAAGCAGUACCGUAAGGAGUUGUGGACUGAUGAGAAGUGAGAAUGUCGGUAUGAGUAGCGAAAAGAAUGGUGAGAAUCCAUUCCACCGAAAGCCUAAGGGUUCCUGAGCAACGAUCGUCGUCUCAGGGUAAGUCGGGACCUAAGCCGAGGCGGAAAAGCGUAGGCGAUGGACAACAGGUUGAAAUUCCUGUACCGGUGUGAAUCGUUUGAUCGAUGGAGUGACACAGUAAGGUAGGUCAGCACGCGAUUGGAAGUGCGUGUUUAAGCAUGUAGGUUGAGCUAUAGGCAAAUCCGUAGCUCUAAAAGCUGAGAUGUGAUGACGAGUUACUAGC
rnacentral:rRNA from 1 species